AAAAAUUAAAUAUAAAACACUGUACACCGUUUCAAUACUAUUUAGUCGUAUUACGGUUUUAUAUGUAUUUAUUUGCUAAAACCUGUUACAAUGAUAAUUAUACUAUUCACUUUGAACAAAAUGAGUGUUUAAAUUACGAAUUGCACGUUAGAGUCUUCUAUUAUUGGCAUUCAAAAUAAAACACGAAUAACUGUUGAAGCAGGUAAUGAAAAAAUAAAUGGCGGCGCCCAUAUGGAUCACGAAAAUUUCAGUGAACGUGUAUAGAGAUUAUCUCUUUUUCUUUUGCUGAUUUUGACUUUUUUCUUUUACAUACGUGUUACCUUUAGAGCCUUGCUUCGCGGACGGGCCUUGGGCCCGUCCGAGCUUCGCUCGGUAUCAUUGUAACAGGUUUUAGCAAAUAAUUACAUAUAAAACCGUAAUACGACUAAAUAGAUGAACGAGUUCAUGAGGUUCUUUAAAUAAGAAUAUACGAUAAAAUUACGGUUGCAUUUUUACCAUUUUGAAUUUAUUGGUUAAUUUUAUUUAGUUUUAUAACGGCCUUUUUCAUUGCAUACGGAAUGUAUUAUUGUUGUUUAUAAUAGCCGUGUUUCGAGUUACUCCGGAACACCCGGGAUUUUUCGUAUUUAGCCACGCCGGUCACGUGAUAUGAGCAAAAUGUUCCACAGGGGUACUUCCGGUUAAUUUUGUUUACACUGGUAACAAAAUUGUUUUUGACAAAAUAUAGAUUUUGCGGCACAAACUGUCGCAAAUCAGAUAAAGGAUAGCAAGGGAUAUAUAUUUACUUGGGAAUAUGUCAAAGUUUACCUUUUCCCAAACCCGGGAAAAGCGUUCACGCAGAGGAAACGAUGGUGUCAUUUGUGUAGAAAACCACGAGCAGCCGAAAUUGAGUGCGAUUAUUACAUUCCGUGAAAGCUGAACCAACAAAGAAACAUCAUUGUUCUAGCCAGUUUGCUUAUAUUAACUUUUAGGAAAACCAAGAGGUUGAAAACAAUGGCUGAUCUGCAUAUAAUGACUGCUAGUUAUUGGCUGGUAUGCAGUGAAAGGGAGCUAAAAAGGAGUAAAAAGUUCAUAUCAGCCAGGUGAGAAUUAAUUUCUUCUUUUUUGUGUGUUAUACAUAUGUAAUUCUUUUCUUUUGCUGCUUCAAAUCUUGUGUAUUUGAAAAUUUUCAGUCUAAUAUUUGGCAAUGUUAUAGGUAGUGUGGUUUAAAUAAACCAGUGUUAAGGAAUAUCCAGUAAUGACAUGACAUCAUGAGAGUUUGGCAUACCGACAUUCAGAUGAUUAAUGAUGAAACUGAAGACCUCAAAUGAAAGGCAUGGAAAAUUAUCCUGUUCCCAUUAACCUGAAAAAGAGGAGGGAUGCCACAAUAUUGAUAAUAGACUUUUGUCAAUUUGAGAAGCAAAGAUGUAAAAAAAAUAAUAAAAUAAAUAAAUAAUGAUGAAAUUAUAAUUCAUGUAUUUGUUAAAAAUACUGUUCACUGUACAUACAUGUAUAUUUUUUUAACUUAUUUGGAAAUACAUGAAGUAAUUCAUAUUAAAACUGAAUGUAUGAGUUUUCAUGAUUUUUAUCAAUAAAGCUUACCAUAUUUAUUGUA